rnacentral:rRNA from 1 species
GACGAACGCUGGCGGCGCGCCUAACACAUGCAAGUCGAACGGAGUCAAGAGGAGCUUGCUUUUCUUGACUUAGUGGCGAGCGGGUGAGUAACGCGUGAGUAACCUGCCCUGGAGUGGGGGACAACAGUUGGAAACGACUGCUAAUACCGCAUAAGCCCACGGAUCCGCAUGGAUCUGCGGGAAAAGGAUUUAUUCGCUUCAGGAUGGACUCGCGUCCAAUUAGCUAGUUGGUGAGGUAACGGCCCACCAAGGCGACGAUUGGUAGCCGGACUGAGAGGUUGAACGGCCACAUUGGGACUGAGACACGGCCCAGACUCCUACGGGAGGCAGCAGUGGGGGAUAUUGCACAAUGGGGGAAACCCUGAUGCAGCGACGCCGCGUGGAGGAAGAAGGUUUUCGGAUUGUAAACUCCUGUCGUUAGGGACGAUAAUGACGGUACCUAACAAGAAAGCACCGGCUAACUACGUG